ACGAACGCUGGCGGCGUGCCUCAUACCUGCAAGUAGAACGCACAGUUUAUACCGUAGCUUGCUACACCAUAGACUGUGAGUUGCGAACGGGUGAGUAACGCGUAGGUAACCUGCCUGGUAGCGGGGGAUAACUAUUGGAAACGAUAGCUAAUACCGCAUAAUAUUAAUUAUUGCAUGAUAAUUGAUUGAAAGAUGCAACUGCAUCACUACCAGAUGGACCUGCGUUGUAUUAGCUAGUAGGUGAGGUAACGGCUCACCUAGGCGACGAUACAUAGCCGACCUGAGAGGGUGAUCGGCCACACUGGGACUGAGACACGGCCCAGACUCCUACGGGAGGCAGCAGUAGGGAAUCUUCGGCAAUGGACGAAAGUCUGACCGAGCAACGCCGCGUGAGUGAAGAAGGUUUUCGGAUCGUAAAGCUCUGUUGUAAGAGAAGAACGGGUGUGAGAGUGGAAAGUUCACACUGUGACGGUAUCUUACCAGAAAGGGACGGCUAACUACGUG
rnacentral:rRNA from 1 species